rnacentral:rRNA from 1 species
UGCAACGGGUGCUUAACAUGCAGUCGACGGCAGCACGGACUUCGGUCUGGUGGCGAGUGGCGAACGGGUGAGUAAUGUAUCGGAACGUGCCCAGUAGCGGGGGAUAACUACGCGAAAGCGUAGCUAAUACCGCAUACGCCCUACGGGGGAAAGCAGGGGAUCGCAAGACCUUGCACUAUUGGAGCGGCCGUUAUCGGAUUAGCUAUUUGGUGGGGUAUCGGCUCACCAUGGCUACGAUCCUUUGUUGG